rnacentral:rRNA from 1 species
UACGUAGGGGGCAAGCGUUGUUCGGAAUUACUGGGCGUAAAGCGCGCGUAGGCGGUUUGAAAAGUCAGAUGUGAAAGCCCCGGGCUCAACUUGGGAACUGCAUUUGAUACUGUCAGACUAGAGUACAGAAGAGGUGACUGGAAUUCCCAGUGUAGCGGUGAAAUGCGUAGAUAUUGGGAGGAACACCAGAGGCGAAGGCGGGUCACUGGGCUGAUACUGACGCUGAAGUGCGAAAGCCAGGGGAGCGAACGGG